CUCUUUCUUUUCCUCUCGCUCUCCCCCGUGCCGCCGCCCGCCGCAUCCUCAGGUCUCACUGCCAUCGCCGCCGCUCCACCUCACACGCCGGCCGCUGCUCCCUGCCUCCGGCGGCCGCCCCGCAGCCGCUGCCGGCCUGAAUCGGUUUCAUGGCUCCUCAUGAGCCUGCCCCCAAGCUAACCCUCUCCAAUCGAUGCUGCUGCCCAACGACGAAGACACCCGCCUAGAGUUCCAGAUUGGGAUUUUCCCCAGCUUCAGCACCCCUUGAGCCAAGCAUGGCUUGUCUCCCCCGAGUUCCUCCUUUCUGAUCAUCCCCUUUUCUCCCUACUUCUGUGAUGUGAUUUGAUUGGUACUCUCUUGUGUGAUAGCAUGCUCUGAAUUGUGAUGCUUGUGAACUAAUCCUAGCGACCAACUUGAUGAUGCUAUAAUCAGGAUUGUACUUACUGUUUCUAGGGUUCUAGAUAAAUUGGCUUGCUAGGGUUGGACGAAUAAAUUUCUGUAUGCCAUGAGUGAAUGAAUGAAUGCUGAUGCAAGUGCAGUACUGGAAUUAGAAAAGCUAAUGAAAAUCACACUAACAUAAUUAAGUCCUUGUAUAUGCUUGCAUGAUGAAAUAACUGAAUUUGGCACAACAGCAGGAUCAUAUUCUAGAAUAAAUCUUAUUGAAUGAUGCAGUAAUUUACAUGGUACUAUACUUUGAAAAUCAUGCCAAGAUAUGUACUAUAGAGAAUGGAACACCUUGAAUACAGAUAGAUGGUAACUGAUUUCUUUGGAUGAUUUACUGCUACUGACUGUAUGUCAUGACUAUAAUUUACUAGAUUAGAGUUGUUGAUGCAGGGAAAAAAAUAAACUAUUGAUUAACUAACUAUUUACUGUGGUUUUAUUCUGAGAGUAUGAUUUUAAACAUUCGUUCUGCUACACAAAUGAUUUGGUAGAAAAAAAAAACUUAUAUGUUCUGUUAAGUUAUUGAAAUUUAGUAGAACUACGACUAUUUAUCACUAUAUGCAUACUUAGAUGUACUUCUAUUGUCUCUUUUCUGUGUUUCGUAGUAAAGAACUAGAUACAUAUGCAAACUUAACCCAGAUUCAUAACCAACUGGUUUCGCAUGCUAUUCUACAAUUCAAAUGAUUAAUAAUUUAUGAUGGUUCCUCUAUUAAGUCUGGGUUGAUUUUCAAUACUUUUAAAUGAAAUCAGAUUAAUAUACACAUACCCUAACCUUUCCAAGAAUAUGCACAGCUUAGAUUUUACUUUGUUUGUAUGACCAAAAUCUGAAAGUUCUAUAUUUUUUUUUUAAGUGCACAUGCAUGAUCAACUAUCUGAAUAAAAUUCAUGUCUUUCUUUACUAAUUUCCCGUUCCUGGUUAUAUAAGCAGUUACAUUGUGAGUUUUUGACUGUGUACAUAGGCAUAGGUAGCUUAGUUUCAGCUACAGAGAUUGAGCAGAUUACAUUCUAUUGCUGUCUCAAAAGGUUUCUGAUGGACAUUAUGGUGUUACAACUAUCUUAAUUUCCAAGUUCUUAACGUAUGGGGCAAACUGAAAAGUGAUCUGUGCUCAUGCCAGAUCCUAACAGGGGACAAAUGAAGUGCAGUGUUAAAGUUGCAAUGGCAUU
rnacentral:sRNA from 1 species